rnacentral:lncRNA from 1 species
CCCCCGGGACCCUCAGGGACCCCCUGGGACACCCAGGGACCCCCAAUGAUCCUCCCCGGGACCCCCCCUGGAACCCCAGGACUCCACAGGGACCCCCAGUGACCCCUGCACUGUCCCCAGAGUUGUGUCCGUGUGUCUCACCUGUCUCACCUGUCCCUGUUCCACCUCUGUGUGUGUGUCCUGUGUGUCUGUGUGUCCUGUGUGUGUCUGUGUGUCUCACCUGGCCCUGUUCCACCUGUCUGUGUGUCCAUGUCUCACCUGUCCAUGUCUCACCUGUCUCACCUGUCCAUGUCUCACCUGUCCAUGUCUCACCUGUCUCACCUGUCC